rnacentral:rRNA from 1 species
GAUGAACGUUGGCGGUGUGCCUAAUACAUGCAAGUCGAACGGUGGUCAUUUUGUAGUAAUACGAAUUGAUCAUAGUGGCGAACGGGUGAGUAACGCGUUGGUGAUCUGCCUCGAAGUGUGGAAUAACGUUCCGAAAGGAACGCUAAUACCGCAUGUGCUCUCAUUUUUUAGAAAGUUGAGAGUAAAGGAUUUAUUCGCUUCGAGAGGAGCCUGCGUCCCAUCAGCUAGUUGGUAAGGUAACGGCUUACCAAGGCUAUGACGGGUAGGGGACCUGAGAGGGUGGCCCCCCACAAUGGAACUGAAACACGGUCCAUACACCUACGGGUGGCAGCAGUAGGGAAUAUUAGAAAUGGACGAAAGUCUGAUCUAGCGACACCGCGUGUGCGAUGAAGGCCUUCGGGUUGUAAAGCACUUUUUGGAAGGAAUAGGAAGGAAGGUACUUCCAGAAUAAGUCUCGGCUAACUACGUGCCAGCAGCCGCGUAAAGAGUAGUACA